UACGUAGGUGGCAAGCGUUGUCCGGAAUUAUUGGGCGUAAAGCGCGCGCAGGCGGCCUUUUAAGUCUGCUGGUGAAAUGCCGGGGCUCAACCCCGUGCCCGCCACAGAUACUGGGAGGCUGGAGACAUGUAGAGGCAAGCGGAAUUCCGGGUGUAGCGGUGGAAUGCGUAGAGAUCCGGAAGAACACCGGAGGCGAAGGCGGCGUUGCUGGGCGAUGGGUCUGACGCUGGAGCGCGAAAGCGUGGGGAGCGAACAGG
rnacentral:rRNA from 1 species